UGAGUUUGAUGAUGGCUCUGAUUGAACGCUGUCCAAAGGCUUGACACAUGCUAAUCGUACGUCAUUUUUCUUGCUAUACUUUAUAAACUUAGGUGUAGCAAGAAAAAUGAAGUGGUGUAAAGGUGAGAAUUAUAUUUUUUGUCUACCUUAAAGUAAGGAAGAAAAUCCCUUAUAAAGUAUUUGAUACUGAUUGAAAGUUGAUUAUACAAAAGAAAAAAAGUUUUUCGCUUUAAGAAGCUAAAGAUAUAACCGAGUAAGUAGUAGUUAAGGUAAUUACUUAACUAGCUUAAGCUCGUAGUCGAAACUGAGAGGUUGAUCGAUCACAUUGGGUCUGAAAAAACCCCAAUACGUCUAGUACAGCAGUGAGGAAUAUUGGUCAAUGGCCUAACGGCCGAACCAGCCAUUUGGGGGAAUGAGGUAAAUUUUAGUCGGUUGUGUUGAAUUACCAAAUAAACGGCUAUGCCGUAUAAAAUUCUAGAUAGAUGAUUGAUAAUGACAGUUUUCUAUCUAUAUGUCUUGACCAAAUCUUGUGCCAGCAGUCGCGGUAAUACAAGGAAGACUAGUGUUAUUCAUCUUUAUUAGGUUUAAAGGGUACCUAGACAGUAUUUCUAGCCCCAAAAGGGAACAGACUUACUAGAGUUUUUUAUGUGAGAGGCAAAUAUUAGAACCAUUAGAGUAGAGAUAAAAAGUUGUCAUACUAAUGUGACGGAUAACGGCGAAGGCAAACCUUUAUGUAAUAACUGACGUUGAGGGACGAAGGCUUGGGGAGCAAAUAGGAUUAGAUACCCUAGUAGUCCAAGCAGACAAUUAUGAAUGUUAUAGAUUAAAAUAUUUGGUGUAUAAAUGAAAGUGUAAGCAUUCCACCUCAAGAGUAAUGUGGCAACGCAGGAACUGAAAUCAUUAGACCGUUUCUGAAACCAGUAGUGAAGUAUGUUAUUUAAUUCGAUGAUCCUCGAAAAACCUUACCACAAUUUGAAUGAUAUUUAUUUUAGGUUUAACUUAAGAUAAAUAUUACAGGUGUUGCACGGCUGUCUUUAGUUAAUGUCGUGAGACUUUGGUUAGAUCCAUUAAAUUAGCGUAUAACCCUCGCUUUAUUUUAAAAUACAUAGAGCAGUUCACCAGUUUACUAUUCCAAUAAAUUGGUGGAGAAUAGGGAUUAAGACAAGUCACCAUGACCUUAAUAUUGUGGGCUAUAGACGUGCCACAUAUGUUUGUACAAAAGGAGGCGAAAAUGCGAAUUUUAGCUAAUCCUUAAAACAGAAUAUAAUACGGAUUGUAGUCUGAAAUUCGACUGCAUUAAUAAGGAAUUACUAGUAAUCGUGAAUCACCACAUCACGGUGAAUAUAAUCUCAGUCAGGUACUAACCACUCGUCAGGCGCUGAAAGAAGUAUGUGCAAUAAGUUUGGCUAUUUAAUAAUUCUUCCUAUUAAUAAUUAGUUAAUAUUUAGAAUUGAUAAAAGUUCUAUAAGAUACUUUAUUGAAUGGUCUUCGUAUGCGUGACUUUGAUUG
rnacentral:rRNA from 1 species